UUUACUUUUAUAGUUAUUUUUGGAUAACUGUACUAUUAAAUACUUUAACAACUUAUGGAUAAUUGAUCUAUUAUAUUAUUAUAUGUGAUUAUUUUAUAAUAUAGUUUAUACAAUAUUUUUGGGAUGUUAUAUUUAACAUAUUUUAAAUUACGUUUUUCAACAUAAUUUGAAAUACAUUUUUUCUUAAAGUCGGUUAAGAGUCCGUCUUUCGAAAGCUGGUUAAGGAAAAAACAUAUUUCGAACGAAGUUUUUUACUUAACCGGUUAUCGAAAUACGUCAAGUUCUUAAACCGAUUAAAGAAAAACAUAUAUUAAGGCUUUCACUUACCUUGAACCGCUUCCACAAAACGAAGGAGCAUACAAACUUGAAUGACCAAUUGCGACCAUGACAACUAGGACCACCACCACUAACAUAUUGCAGCGAGCGAAUAAGUAGAGAAAGAGGAAGAAGCAAAGAAGGAGACUAAGUGAGUGAAAGUUGAUAGUGAAAAGGAAAGGGUGCAAACUUUUUUUUUUUUUAAUUGGAUUGACAUAUUAAGGGCAGGAAGAAUUUUGAGAGGUGCAGGAAAAAGUACUCUAAGGAGGCAAAUCUAGGACAUGGACGUUAAGGUUGGUUAGUUGAGAACAAAAAUCGACACUUUGACCGAAUGGAGGGAAAAUGCAGAAAUAUGAGCAGAAGCAUGUAAGCAAGGGAGGGAAGAAAUCUUACUUAAAGAAGAAGUGUUACUGAAGACACUCCUACUCUUCCAAAUAUAAUUGAGUAAGAGUUUUAAAGGAAGUUUUUCAAUCUUUGAACUUUUAUAAUUUUAUUAAUGCUUCUCAUUUCUUGAGUCCAACCUUUACUUUUCAAAAUAUUUUACCUUCACUUUCACUCCCCAUUAAUUUUAACUGCACAAUAGUUUUUGAAAAAUCACAUUUUAGUUGUUGUCUACCAAGUUACAAAUAACUCAAGAUAUACAAAAUGAUUUUUUUUUAAAUAAUAUGGGUCUUAUUACUUUUGAAAAAUCUAAAGAAACUAGAACAAGAAAUGUUCAAUGCUUCACGAGGGAACAUUUCUUUUGAAUGUCUUCACAAAAGAACAUUGUUUUUAAAAAAGUAUGGAUAAUUCUCAUUCUUCACCUAAUGAAGAAAAAGUUUUAAAUUUUAUAAAAAAAUUAAAUUUUCUUAAAGAAAAUCUUUUCAAAAAUACGAAAAGAUUUAUUUGUUCUUUACAAAUACUUCGGUAUAAAUGAAUAAUUAAUUAAUUUUUUAUUUAAAAUUUAACAAUUUGUUAAAUUUUAAAUAAAAAAUUAAUUAUUAUUCGUAAUAGAUAAUGUCUUAAACUUCAAAUAUCACAUAAUAUAUAUAUAUAUAUAUAUAUAUAUAUAUAUAUAUAUAUAUAUAUAUAUAUAUAUAUAUAUAUAUAUAUAUAUAUAUAUAUACACACGUAUGUAUAUGUGUACAUGUAUGUAUGUACGUACGUAUAUGUGUACAUGUAGGUAUAUACGUAUGUGUACAUGUAUGUAUAUGUGUACAUGUAUGUACGUAUAUAUAUAUAUAUAUAUAUAUAUAUAUAUAUAUAUUCAUAUUCUGUGAUAUUUGAAAAACACAUGUAUAUAAUUCAAACCCAUCAAUUAUUCAUUUCAACAUAAAAAUAAAAUAAAAACACAUACUUGACAUGCGUAGAGACAAAUAUCUGCUGGAGCGAUUUGGAGACGAUCUAGCAUAUCUUCAACGAUGUCUGCUCCGUAUCGAAAGGAAACGUUGCUGGUCGUGCUAAAAAACAAAUCAAUUAGAGACAUCAUUGUCACAUAUUUUUAUGAUUAGGUUGUUUGAGUAGAGAUAUGACAGUGAGAAAAUCGUUCGUAUCUCAUACUUCUCUUUAUAAAAAGCAAAUAUCACAAUAUAACACACACAAAUAUGGCUAUCCCAUUCGAUAGGAUUCAAAGGUUCUAGGACAACUUUAUGGCCCAAUAUCAAGAGUUAAACAACAAGUAUGAUGAAGUUCUAAAGACCCGAGACGCACAAAACAGGGUCAAUUUAGAAUUGGUUGCCAACAUGAUAGUGAAGAUUGAGGAGAAGAAUGAAGAGAAAAAGAGACUGCUUGCAGAAAUUGAAUGUUAUAAAAAUUUUGUAGAUAAAGAAAAAGAUAAGCAGGAAGAGUGGAAGAAAAUGUAUGAUGAAAAAAAGAAGAAGUUUGAAAUGAUGGAGAAGGAAGUUAUUUCUGUGGAGGAGGAUUUCAAAAGUAAGUAUAUGUUAUCUGUGUUCUUUUCCAUUUUAGUUUCUGCAUUAACCAUUUUAGGUGUUGAUGUAGGGGACGUUAAUGUCUUCAUCUUAGUUGAUGUUUCAUCUUUAUUAUUAUGCUCUUUCUUAUUAUGCAAUAGGAUAGGUGGUUAAUGUAAUGUUUUUUGAAGACAUUAACGUCCCCUACAUCAACCCCUAAAAUGGCGUUGAUGUAGGGGACGUUAAUGUCUUCAAAAAACAUUACAUUAACCACCUAUCCUAUUGCAUAAUAAGAAAGAGCAUAAUAAGAAAGAGCAUAAUAAUAAAGAUGAAACAUCAACUAAGAUGAAGACAUUAACGUCCCCUACAUCAACGCCUAAAAUGGUUAAUGCAGAAACUAAAAUGGUAGAGAACACAAAUAACAUAUACUUACCUUUGAAAUCCUCCUUCACAGAAACAACUUCCUUUUCCAUCAUUUCAAACUUCUUCUUUUCUCCAUCAUACAUUUUCUUCCACUCUUCCGUCUCAUUUUUUUCUAUAUCUGCAAAAUUUUUAUAGCAUUCAAUUUCUGCAAGAAGCAUCUUUUCCUCCCUUCAUUCUUCUCAUCAAUCUCUUCUAUCAUCUUGGCAAGUAAUUCUGAUUUGACCUUGUUUUGUGCGUCUCGGGUCUCUAGAACUUCAUUAUACUUGCUGUUUAACUCCCGAUAUCGGGUCAUAACGUUGCCCUGGAACCUUCGAAUUCUAUGGAAUGGUAUAACUAUAUUUGUGUUUGUGUUAUAGUGUGAUAUUUGCUUUUUAUAGAGAGAAGUAGGAGAGAAGAACGAUUUCCUCAUUGCCAUAUCUCUACUCAAACAACCUAAUCAUAAAAAUAUGCGACAAUGAUGUCUCCAAUUGAUUUGUUUUUUAGCACGACUAGCAGCGUUUCCUUUCGGUACGGAGCUGAAGAUAUGUUAGACCGUCUCCAAAUCACUCCAGUAGAUAUUUGUCUCUAUGCAUGUCAAGUAUGUGUUUUUAUUAUUGGUUGCCAACAUGAUAGUGAAAAUAUUUUUAGUUUUUGAAUAUUUUAUAUUUUUUACGGUAUAUUUUUUAUAUAAGAAAGGGAAAAGGUUUUUAGCACAAGGUUUACGCGAACGGUCGCACAUGUGCUUUAAAUCCUUUGAAAUAAUUUUUGUUGAUUUUUUUGAAAGGAGAAGAAAAAGGUUUUUAGCACAAGGCCGACGGAAUGGUCGCACGUGUGCUUAAACCUUUUAAAAUAUUUUUUGUUAAUUUUUUGAAAGUAAAAGAAAAAGGUUUUGAGCACAAGGUCAACGGAAUGGUCGAACAUGUGCUUAAAACUUUUAAAAUAAAUUUUUAUUGAUUUUUCAAAAGAAGAAAAAGGUUUUCAGCACAAGGCCGACGAAAUGGUCGCACGUGUGCUUAAACCUUUUAAAAUAAAUUUUUGUUAAUUUUUUGAAAGAAGAAGAAAAAUGUUUUCAGCACAAGGCCGACAGAAUGGUCGAACGUAUGUUUAAACCUUCUAAAACAAAUUUUUGUUGUUUUUUGAAAGAAGAAGAAAAAGGUUUUCAGCACAAGGUCGACGGAAUGGUCGCACGUGUGCUCAAACCUUUUAAAAUAAAUUUUUGUUGAUUUUUUGAAAGAAGAAGACAAAGGUUUUCAGCACAAGGCCGAUAGAAUGGUUGCAUGUGUGUUUUAAACCUUUUAAAAUAAAUUUAUAUGGUUUUUUGGAAGAAGAAAAAAAAGGUUUUCAACACAAGGCCGACGGAAUGGUCACACCUGUGCUUAAACCUUUUAAAAUAAAUUUUGUUAAUUUUUGAAAGAAAAAACAAGAUUUUCAACACAAGGCCGACGGAAUGGUCGCACAUGUACUUAAACCUUUUUAAAAUAAUUUUUGUUCAAUUUUUUGAAAGAAAAAGAAAAAAAAUUUCAACACAAGACUGACGGAAUGGUCGCACGUGUGCUUAAACCUUUUAAAAUAAUUUUUGUUGAUUUAAUAUUUAUGAUAAAAAGAGAAAAUAAAAAUAAAAAUAAAAUAUAAUGAAAAGAUGGAAUAAGAUAAAAAGGGGUGUGGGGGUGCUUAAAUAAGAAAAAGAGGUGUAGAUUAAACUUAGUGCUAAUAACUAACUGGGCCAAAGCCCUAAUGGAAAAAUGGAGGUAAGAAAAUGAAACGGAUGGCUGCAAACCAAUUUAGUUCGUAUAACAGACUCGGCCUAGUGGACAGGCGGUGCGAAAGGGAAACAAAGGGGGUGCAGAAAGGAUUGUUUUUUAACAAGGCUUUUGCCCAAAAAGAAAGGAGGGCGUGAUAUUAGAACAAAAGGAGGUGCACGGAGGAAAGGGUUUUUUUUGUUUAUUUUUUUAAAAUGGCAUAAGGGCUCAGGCCCAAGACUCUUCAGCAGAAAAUUAGGGGUCCUCAAGCUGCCUCUCAUUUCAACAUUGCACCCCAUCGUCCCAGGGCCUCCUCUCUGAACGAGAAUGCCAGAGUAGAGUUCGCCUCCACCACUGACGAAGCCGACGAUCACAAGCCGCGAGCCAAGGCCGCUCCGGUGACGCUUCUCGCCGGCGGAGUCGUCGCCGGCAACCAGGUUUUCUCCUUCACCUUUUCGCGCGAGAGAAUCACCGUGCUCCUUCACGGCUCGUCUUCGCCGCUUCAACAAGGCCGGUCUCCGCCGCCGCCGUUCACGUCGGAGGAAGCCGCGUCGUGUACGACAAUUCAGUCUCUAAUUUCCCUCUCUUAACCCCAGGUGACCCUUGCCCCAACUGCGACCAACAGAGGUUGCCGCCACUCCAGACAAGCAGAGACUAAAGAUGGGUUUUUGAUUUCUGGUGGGUAUGCAUUUCUUGCUCAAGGAUUCGGUUCCUUCGUUGGUGAUUGGAGAUGAACAGCGGUGUGGGGGCUUAAGUUUCAAUAUCUGGUCUGGCUUUUGGGGUUUUGAUGUCUUAGUGUGUUUAUGGAUUUUGCUCUGUGUGCCUAUUGCUUAGGGGGUCAACUCCUGUGGCUUAAGGUGAACAGAGGCAAGGAGACCCAAUUUCAUGAUCUGACUUGUUUGGGGGGUUUUUUGUGGUUGGUGGGUGGACAUAGGCUGUCGACAUUGACAGAGAGUGAAGGAAUCGGAAGAGCUGUUUCAGUUUGUUGGGAUGAUGAUUUAUCUGCAGGGGGUUAUCGGAACUUGGACGGCAAUACAGGAUAUUGAUUCGCAAGUUUGGAUUAUACAAAGAGAGCACCGGUCUCUGAUUGUUGAAGGUGGUGAAGCAUGUUCAGGUUGUUGGGAUGAAUGGAAAACAAACCAUGUACAGAAGCAAAUCAUGCAUACUCAAUAUAAUAGCAAGUUCAAUGUGAGCAGUCAAAGCCAGGCAUUACCAAAUCAAAACAGAAGCAGAAACCCCAUUAAGAGUAGACUGUAAUCCUCUAACAUUCAUAACUUUGUGAGGGAUGAAGUUAAAGAGAACUUACCUUCUACGUUUACACUCUCUUCUCUCAAGUCCUUGUGAUCCUUUCUUAUGAUUCAACUCCACUUCUUUUCUUCAGUGGCCUUGGUGUUAGUCUAGAGAAAAACCAUUUUUCUUUGCUUCGUAAGUGUGAGGAGUGGUCAUCAAAAUGGAUUCUGUUUUUUUUGGUGGAAGUGAAUAAUAAUCUGUUGGAGGUGAAGAAUUGGGAGUAAAAGGGAAAUGUGGUCACGGGUGAGGGGAGCAGAGCAAGUCUAAAGGCAAAGGGGAGUCUCUGUUGAGUGAGAGAGUAGUGUCUCCGUUUUUUCUUGAUGCCCCUUUUUCUCUCUAGAAGUCGUUUCCUUUCUGCCAUUCAGCCCCUAAGGUUAGACUUAGAAUCAGAAUCCGCUUGGCAAAACCGCUGUCAAACGCCAUUCUUCUUUGAUGUAUAAUUGGUGACAGAAACCAUGGGGCACAGGGUUCUUUCCGGAAAACGGAAGUUUGAUUGCUUGUGGAGGCAUCUGUUGUUGUGUGUUGCAGGAAAGCUUAAUUCAUGUUUGCACGACUGAGAAUGGGAAGAAUGCAACACUCUGCCAUACCUUUUUUCUUUUCUUUUUUCCUUUGAAUUUUUUUUCUAACGUUUAACAUUAAAAAGAAACACAAAUAAAACUAAAUAAUAAAAGAAACUAAAGUAAAAUAAAACGAAAUAACUCUAAAUAACAAAAGGUAAAAUAAAAUAAAAAGUAAAAAUAGAAUUAAAAUACAAAAACUAAUAUCAAAAUGAAAACAAAAAAAAGAUAAAUAAAUAAAAUAAAAUAAAAUAAAUUAAAAUUAGGUAAUAUAACAAAAAUAAAAUGAUAAAAAAACAUAAGAUAAAAGAAAAAUAAUAUAUUUUUGUUAGCCGGACGAAAACGGAUGUUAAAUCAUAUUUGAAGUUUGAAACACUAUUAUCGCAAUGGGACGAAAAGAAAACGUUUCAGAAAAAGAGAUUUGGAGUCGUUUUCAUAGUUUAUUAUGAAAAACUACGAAAAAAACCAUAAAAUGAUAAGGUACGAUCUACGAAAACCAGAUUCUAGGUUCGGGAGUCGAUUACGUGUAGCAAAAGUAUUAGCACCCUAUAUCGCCUGCCCGAAGGCAAUAUCUUUAAUUAAAUACGCGAAUAUGGUGUAUCCGAAAAAGACAUUAUUAAGAAGCAAAAUAUAUUUUUUAGUUUUCUAAGAAAUUGUUGAGAAAGUUUAUUUGGAAAAUAUUUAGAUUUUUGGGAAGUGAACCUAAGAAAGACUAGCCUUGCUCCAAAGUAUCUUCACUUUGGAUGGAGAAUCAAGGAUCAAGUACUUUCCGUUGAAAAAUUGUUUGUUGUUUUAAAAUACUUAUAAUUUGGAAUUUUUAUAUAAAAAAAGGAAAAGGUUUUAGCAGAAGGCAUACCGAAAAGUCGCUUUAACCUUUUAAAACAUGUUUUUAUUAUUUUUGUAAAAAGAAGAGAAAAAGACUUGUAGCGCAAGGCCUAUGCGAACAGUCGCAUGUGUGCUUUAACUUUUUAAAACAAGUGAAAGGUGCCCGUGUGCUUUAACCUUUAUAACAUUUUUAUUUUUAAAAUAUUUUUGAAUUUUUUAAUACUUUUUCUCAAUAUAAAAAUAUAAUAAUAUUUAAGUGAAUAGGUACAUAAAAGUCUAAAAUACAUAACAUGGGGGUAGAACUAGUAACUAUUGGGUGCACAAAAGAGAGCUAGGCAAACAUAUAAACAUAUAAUAAAAACAGGGGUGCACCAAGUAAUUAAAGCAAAUAAAAAAGUUUGCAGAAAUGGAAAAGGGCUUAAGCCCAAAACACACAAAAAGAAUAUGGAGGUGUUAAGAUGAGAAAUUGGGGUGCGGAUGAGAAUAGGGUUUAAUAUUUUUUCCUUUUAAAAGAACCUGGAUCAGAAGCUUAGCCCCAUGCCUUUUUUCUUGUUUGCGAAAAUGGAGGGGGGAUGCGAAGACGAGAAACAGGGGUGGAAAAGGGGCAAAGUUUUUUAAUUAUUGUUUUUUAAAAAAGGAAAAGGAACUGGGCCAUGGGCCCAAGAGUCCUUCACCAGAAACAUUAGGGGUUUGUCCAGAUCUCCCCCAUUCCUCCAUUUCACUCAAAUGAGACCUAGGGUCUCCUUCUCUGGGCAAGAAAACCCGGAGGCGCUCACCUCCACUGUUAGAUCUCAAUCCGAACGGCCACCGAGAGCCACCGUCCGCGGCGUCACCAGUGCCUUCGCCGGAAGGUCCACCGCCCUUCACGCCGGAGCACCAUCUCGUCCUCUCUUCUUCGCGCGAAACCGGCCCCGACUCCGAUAUCUCAUCGCUCCCGCCGCCGUCGACGAAACCAACGUCCAGAAGCCGUGAGCCAAGGCCGCCCCGGUGACGCUGCUCGUCGCCGGCCGCCAGGUUUUUUCCUUUUCUUCUUCGCGUGUGAGGGAGGAACGCCGGCCACCGCUUGAGCGAAUCCAGCCGCCGCGGGCUACAAGCCGGAACGCCGCCGGUCACCGCGUCAAGGACGAAAGCGUUUUUCCUUCUCUUCUUCUCAUUCUUUUUUAAACGCCACUUGCUGAUUGGUUCCUCUGUUGAUUGGUGUUUGUUCUGCUGGGAUUGGAAACGGUGAGGGUGUGUUGAUUGGUUCCUCUGUUGAUUGGUGUAAGAGCCUACUUUGUGCUGGGUAUUCUGUCUUUGCAGGUAAGGGGACUUGGAGUUUGGUGAUUUGAGGUGAAUAGAGGCAAGGGGACCUAGUUUCGUUAUCUGAUUUGGUUGUCACUGUCGUGAUUGAUUCUUUCUUAUUGCAGGAAAACGGCAUUGGGGAUUUCAGUAGAAUAAGUCAAUGUUGAAGAUGAUAAUAGGAUUGUGUGUGGGAGACAUUAGUUUGUUUGUGGUGAGGCUUAGGAUGGGUGGAAAACAGUAUGCGAAGCCAUAUCAUCAUCAAAUCAAGUGGCAACAAAUAGGAGCAUAUAUCACGCAACAUGAACAGUAUGCGAAGCCAGAUCAUCAUCAAAUAGAAACGUAUAGAAGCAUAUAUCACCCAGCAGAAACAUAGAAUAACUAUUUACCAUCCAAGAAUGCAGACAUUUAUAGCAACGAAGCUCCAAGAAGAGGAACUUACCUCUCGCGUUUAUGCUUUCUCUAUUUUACAAGUGAAGAAUUGUUGCCAGAUAAUGGUCGAUGUUGGAGGUGAUGAUAACAGAAAACGCGGUAGAGGUUGGGAUGUGGGGAUGGUUUUUUUUUUCUGACGAGGAAGUUGCUGAGAAGUUCUGUUGAGUGAAUGGAGUUGAGAGUAGUGUCUGUGUGUGAGUGAUGGAUGGAUUUUUGAAUCACCGGUUGAUUUUUCUUUUCAGUCUUUUGAACCUUGCGUGAGAACUCAGAGGGCAGCACAGCCUCCUGACACUCCAAUGCCUCAUGCAACCCUAUUGCCAGCAUUUCUUCUUACCGCAACUGGCUAAAGCUGUCUAUUGCUUCUUCUGCAGCAUAGGUCUGAGCCAAAGAUUUUCACGAAAAAAUGAUAGAUGUCUGAUUGGCAAAGAUUUAAGACCAAAAGAAAGAAAAAUGUUGAUAGCAUUGGAAAUAGAAAUGAACGUUAAGUGCUCUGAUCACAUUUUUGUUUUUUUUUUUCAUUUUCUCGUUUUUUUCUUUUCUUCAUUUUUUUUUUCUUUUCCUUUCUUUUUUCUUUUUUCGUUUUCCUCUUUUCUUUUAUCUUUUUUUCCUUUUUUAGUAUUCCUAAUUGUUUUUCUUUUCUUUUUUCCUUUU
rnacentral:lncRNA from 1 species